rnacentral:rRNA from 1 species
AUACGGAGGGUGCAAGCGUUACUCGGAAUCACUGGGCGUAAAGUGCGCGCAGGCGGCUUGAUAAGUUGGAUGUGAAAGCCUACGGCUCAACCGUAGAACUGCAUCCAAAACUGUCAGGCUAGAGUGUGGGAGAGGAAGAUGGAAUUAGUUGUGUAGGGGUAAAAUCCGUAGAGAUAACUAGGAAUACCAAAAGCGAAGGCAAUCUUCUGGAACACUACUGACGCUGAGGCGCGAAGGCGUGGGGAGCAAACAGGAUUAGAAACCCCUGUAGUCC